AUUGAACGCUGGCGGAAUGCUUUACACAUGCAAGUCGAACGGCAGCACGGACUUCGGUCUGGUGGCGAGUGGCGAACGGGUGAGUAACAUAUCGGAACGUAUCCAAUAAUGGGGGAUAACGAGUCGAAAGAUUCGCUUAUACCGCAUACGCCCUACGGGGGAAAGCUGGGGACCUUUGGGCCUGGCGUUAAUGGAGCGGCCGAUAACUGAUUAGCUAGUUGGUGAGGUAAAGGCUCACCAAGGCGACGAUCAGUAGCUGGUCUGAGAGGACGACCAGCCACACUGGAACUGAGACACGGUCCAGACUCCUACGGGAGGCAGCAGUGGGGAAUUUUGGACAAUGGGCGCAAGCCUGAUCCAGCCAUUCCGCGUGAGUGAAGAAGGCCUUCGGGUUGUAAAGCUCUUUCGCAAGGGAAGAAAACUUAGCCACUAACAUUGGUUGAGGUUGACGGUACCUUGAUAAGAAGCACCGGCUAACUACGUGCCAGCAGCCGCAGUAA
rnacentral:rRNA from 1 species